AGUGUUAUUGUAGUAAACAGUGGGCAGUCUGGGCUACCCUCCCACUGGGUGUGGUUUAUUUUAAAAUAAGGUUGUCUAAUCAUGACUCUGCAUUAAGUUUACAGCUCUGCAACAGCAAACUUACACACAUCAAAACCAUGGCUACUGCAGUCACCAUUGAAUACUGUAAAGGAUGAAGUUAUGCGUUCCGCUACCAGGAACUGGCCGGUGAGCUCCGGCAGGUUCCUGGUGUGCAGGUGACUGGAGUCAAAGGGAGGCCAAACAGCUUUGAGGUGUCAGUAAAUGAUCAGCUGAUCUUCUCCAAGCUUGAGACAGGAAUGUUUCCGGCUCCUGAAGAGGUGGCGAAGCAAGUGAAGCAGAUAGUUAAUGGAGGAAAAGUGGAGAAACCUUCAAAGCUGAAGCACUGGAAGAACAAAUGCUCUCACCAUUAGAAGAUGAAGGAUGAAAUAACAGCUGUAUUCACACUGCAGGAACUAUGGUUUGUUUUCUGUGGCUUAAACUGCAUUCUGUCACACCUGCUUAUCUGAAAACUAAAAUGAAUUCAAACAUUGAAAUAUGACAUCCAAAAUCAAAAUAUAAAAUAAUAAAAUGCCACUGUCAGCCAUGAGAAGAUGAAACCAUAUCUCGUCUUCACUGUGAAUACAGUCAAAGACAAGAAUAUGAUGAGAGCAACUCUGAGGAGCCAGGCACUGAUCUGCUCUUCUGUUUAUGAAUGUACACACUGAAACUCAUGUAGUGUGUGCACGAAGUCUAGAAGCUUUUCAGCCGACUGGGAUCUGAGGUACUGCUCCCAUCAUGUCUGUCUACCAUACUACACUAUUUUACUUUUUGUAUGGAUCAAACAAACAAACAAGAUAAAACAUAUUAAGCUGGUACGUGAGUUCUGUAACCUUAAUAAAGGGCCGGGCUCGCUGUUUCCAGUCUUUGUGCUAAGCUGAGCUAACCAGCCGGCUGUAGCUUCAUAUUUAUGGUACGAAUAUAGAAAGGUAUCAUUCUACUCGCUUAACUCUGGCACGAAAGCGAGUAAGCAUAUUUCCAAAAAUAUCAAAUUAUUGUUUUAAUCUUUUUGUGGUCAGAGAUAAUGUGUGUUUUGGCUAUUUUUGGUCAGAUACGAGUUUUUUUUAAAUGUUUAGCAUUGAUAUUGGGUAUGAGAUAUUUACUUGUAACAUAUAUUUUAAAAAAAAACUCACUGUAUUGUUAUAGGCCUUCUGUCAACUAAUUAGUUUCAACAAAAAAACAUUUUCCUGAAAUGCAAUAAAAUAUCCCUGAAAAACCAA